ACACAGACCUCAACACACACAAGGACCAGGAACAGAGAGGAAUUAAGAUGCUCCUUUGCUGUGUGGCGAAGAGUAGGUGGAGGUGGUUUUAAUCCGUAAUGAACUUAAGAAGAACGGUGCUGAGUGUUGAUUGUUCUAGCCCUGUUUCAGGAGAGCUGCUGUAUCUAUCAAAAUUAAGUGUAUUGACUUGUUGCAAUAAACAAAUCAUAUCCUGAAGGAAACAUGGGACAUCGUAUCAAACAAAGGACAAAACAAGGUUAUUCUAGGAUCUGGGAUAAUGAUGGAACAUAGGCUGGUAGGAUGAGUCCACAAAGAAGGCCACAAAUGAACAAAGAGAGGCAGGAAUCAAAGCAGAGAAGCCAAGGGAAGGAAUUCUAAGGAAGAAGGAGUCAGCUGUAUCAAGCAUAACAAGCUCAAGAAUGAAAGAAGUAAGCUGAUUCAGCAGUUGGCAGGUGGGUGACUUGCUAGGGUAACUUCAGGGAAGUGG